ensembl:lncRNA
GGGGAUUGAACUUGGGACCUUGCACUUGCCAGGCAGGUGACGGAACAACUGAGCUAAAUCCCUGGCCCUUUUACUGUUCAUAUUUUGAACACCCAUUCCUGGAGUUUUGCUUCGGUAGGUGUGAUGGUUAGUUUUAUGUGUCAAUUUGUCUAGGCGAUUGGGCCCAGUUAUUUAAUGAAGGACUAAUCUAGGUGUAGGUAGCCAUGAAGGUAUUUUAUAGACAUGAUUAGUAUCUACAAUUGGUUGACUUUAAAGAUUGCCCUUGGAAACAUGGAUAGGCCUUUUUAACCCAUUGAAAGGGCUUCAGAGCCAGGGAUUUAGCUCAAUGGUUCCGGCACCUGCCUCGCAAGCACAAGGUGCUAAGUUCAAUCCCCAGUACCAAAAAAACCCAAAAACAGUGAAAGGGCUUCAGAACAAAAACUGAGAUUUUCUGAAAAAUGAGAAAUUCUUCACAAUUGCAGUAUCAGCUUCUCCUGGGUUUCCAACCUGCCAUUCUGACCUAUGGAUUUCAGGUUUUCCCACCCUAGAAAUUAUGUGAGCCAAUUCCAAUAUAUGUAUACACAUGUGUGUGUAUGUGUAUGCAUGUAUGUAUAUUCCUCCCCUUUGUGUAUAAUAUAUUCAUUUUUAUACUCUAUUUGUUCUAUGUCUCUGGAGGACUUGGAUUAAUACAUUGGGUAACUCAUUCAGGGAUCUCAGUGCAAACAACAGAAUCUUCUCUAGCCCUUUUAAGUAGGAAGAGGUUUAUUAGAGGACAUUGUGUAAUUCAUGGAGCCAUUGAGAGGGCCAGAAAAUUAGACUUGAAGGCCAUGUGCCUAGGAUUAGUGGCUGCCGGUCCCAUGCAGAUACCUCUGCUAUUGCUACUUGUUGCAAGUAUCUCUAACUGAACCUUUGCUGCCAAAACCCCAUUGUUGCCGCUCCCCCAAACUGGCAGCUGCUAUAAUUACUUGCCAGAAAAUGUGAUUCUACAUGGUAUCCUCUUUUCAUUUUCCUGUACUUAAAAUUGUUUAUUUUGUAUUUGAUUGGUGGAGCUUGGCUUCUAUGUCUGUCCUCCCACUCCAAGAGAGGGCGGUAAAGUGAAUUUCCUGGCAUGAGUCUUGGAAAGGGGGAACUCCUCAUGUGGAAAUUCCUUAUAUAUAGGAAAGGUGUCCAAAGCGGGUGGGAAACAUGAGCAAUCUGCCUCGGUGGGUCUGAAUUUUUCUAGUUCUGCUUUGCCUCUGUGGGUCCUAUCUUUAGGAUACUGCAAAGACCAUAAAAAUGGCAUUACUAUUGACCUGGUAGCAGCUCAAUGUAGUUGCUGACUUCCAGAUGAGGAAGUAAAAUCAUGCUAGGGUAGAACAGCAGAGAGGCAAAGACUGUAAAGUACAAACAGUCCAUCUGUUAAUAAUGCUCGAGUAAAAGAGUAACUGAAAGUGUAAAUAGGGACCAAACUGUAUAAUAGAUAAUAUGAAAUAGGAAAAAAUUGUUCAAAAGGAAAGGGGAACUAGGGAGUGGGGGGAGGGGGAAAGGAAGAAAGGAAAAAGGAAAAAUUGGAAAUGGGGCUUUUGUAAAUAAGGAGGGAAAGAGGGGUAGAAGGUAGGGGAGGGAAUGGGGAAAAAAAAAGUGGACUCAAGAUACAUCAUGUACAGGUACAAAUUCCCUGUGAUGAAUGUGAUCAUUAUGUAUAUCUAAAUUGUAUCAUAACAUUAAAAUUUAAAAAAUGUUAGAAUGCCCUAUAAUUCACCUUUCUGCUUAGUCAUGCUUUUCCUAUAAAAACAGACUCCAUUAAAACAGCUAUGCGUGAGUGACAGUAAGAAAAAAUAAAACUUAAAAGAUAGUUUUAUUAAGCACUUUUGAGGAAACUACAACAAAGCACUUUCCUUACUAGCUUCUCACUGCCAGUUAUUCUUUUUUCAUUUAAAGUUGGGUCCCGAGCCUCAAGGUCAAAUUAUACUUUGUCUUUCAAUUUUUAUACUUUUAGUUAAAAGGGUUUUCGAGCCAUUUACACAACUUCAGACUUGGCAUUUUUGGGUUUUGGGCAGCGUGGUCAGUACAUCCUUGUAGACUCUUUUGGUAGCCCCUCCCCCCAUUUCAGUAUAAUAUAAAAGUGCAAUAAUCUUAAGUACAUACCUCAGUGAAUUUUUACACAUGUAUAAACCCAAGUCACCAAAGAAAUGGAGAUAUAGGCCAUUUCCAGAACUCUGGAAGUCUUUUGUACUCCUUCCUAGUCAACCCCCACAAAGGUAACCACUAUUCUGGCUUCUAUCACUAUUGGUUAGUUUUUUCUACUCAUGAACUUCAUUUGAAUACAGUCAAAUUGUAUGUACUUUUCUGUUCCUGGC